AAUGCAAGCCGGCUUAUCGCCCUGACGUUUUUCGUCAAGGAGGAAAGUCCGGGCAACAAAGAGCAUCGUACUUCCUAACAGGAAGGGACUGGCGGAAACGUUAGUCACAGAAAGUGCCACAGAAAAUAAACUACCCUAACGGUUACCGGAAGGGAAAAGGUGAAAAGGUGGAGUAAGAGCCCACCGGUACUGAAAGUGAUUUCAGACGCAUGGCAAACCUUACGAGUUGAAAGGCCAAAUAGGCCCCGAUCAAGAACGGCUCGUUCAAAAGAUUGCUUCGGCAAUCCAUCGGGGUUGGGUAGGCUGCUAGAUUCAGAUGGCAACAUCUGAGCGAGAUAAAUGAUAAGCUUCCUUCUGUUAAAGAAGGGGACAGAACCCGGCUUACAGGCUUGCAUUAUUU
rnacentral:RNase_P_RNA from 1 species